GAGUUUGAUCAUGGCUCAGAACGUACGCUGGCGGCACGCCUAACACAUGCAAGUCGAACGAAGUAGCAAUACUUAGUGGCAGACGGGUGAGUAACAUGUAGGUAUCUGCCCUUUGGCCUGGAAUAACACGAGGAAACUUGUGCUAAUACCGGAUAAGUCUUUACGGAGAAAGCUUUAUGCACCAUUGGAUGAGCCUGCACUUGAUUAGUUUGUUGGUGGGGUAAUGGCCUACCAAGACUGUGAUCAAUAGCUGAUUUGAGAGGAUGAUCAGCCACAUUGGGACUGAGACACGGCCCAAACUCCUACGGGAGGCAGCAGUGGGGAAUCUUGCACAAUGGAGGAAACUCUGAUGCAGCGAUGCCGCGUGAGUGAAGAAGGCCCUUGGGUUGUAAAGCUCUUUCGUCGGGGAAGAAAAUGACUGUACCCGAAUAAGAAGGUCCGGCUAACUUCGUGCCAGCAGCCGCGGUAAUACGAAGGGACCUAGCGUAGUUCGGAAUUACUGGGCUUAAAGAGUUCGUAGGUGGUUGAAAAAGUUAGUGGUGAAAUCCCAGAGCUUAACUCUGGAACUGCCAUUAAAACUUUUCAGCUAGAGUAUGAUAGAGGAAAGCAGAAUUUCUAGUGUAGAGGUGAAAUUCGUAGAUAUUAGAAAGAAUACCAAUUGCGAAGGCAGCUUUCUGGAUCAUUACUGACACUGAGGAACGAAAGCAUGGGUAGCGAAGAGGAUUAGAUACCCUCGUAGUCCAUGCCGUAAACGAUGUGUGUUAGACGUUGGAAAUUUAUUUUCAGUGUCGCAGGAAACCGAUAAACACACCGCCUGGGGAGUACGACCGCAAGGUUAAAACUCAAAUGAAUUGACGGGGACCCGCACAAGUAGUGGAGCAUGUGGUUUAAUUCGAAGAUACGCGCAGAACCUUACCAACACUUGACAUGUUCGUCGCGACUCUAGAGAUUAGAGUUUUCGGUUCGGCCGGACGAAACAACAGGUGCUGCAUGGGCUGUUCGUCA
rnacentral:rRNA from 1 species